GGAGGGUGCCGCUCAGGGGUGGAGCACGUGCUUAGCAUGCACGAGGUCCUGGGUUCCAAUCCCAGUCCCUCCA
rnacentral:tRNA from 1 species